AGAUGUGAGAGCAAUUUGCCUGUGACAUCUGUCACCCCAUUGAUCACCAGGGUUGAUUUAGCUGAUCUAGCUGGCUAGGCGAGUGCCCCCUCCCUCCCUCACCACUCCAUAUAUGUCCCUCCCCAAGCUGAGUGCACAGUGGAAGAGGACAGCCAUCCCCGCCAGAGGAAGAUAGCUCUUUGGUCAAGAGAAUACAAGUAGCUAAGCUCCCCUGCUAAAACCUCCAAACAAGCUCUCAAGAAUCACAAUAAGCCGGGCUCGGUGACUCAGUCUGUAAUCCCGCGCCUUUGGGAGGCUGAGGUGAGUG
rnacentral:snRNA from 1 species